rnacentral:rRNA from 1 species
UACGUAGGGGGCAAGCGUUAUCCGGAUUUACUGGGUGUAAAGGGAGCGUAGACGGAUUAGCAAGUCUGAUGUGAAAGGCAGGGGCUCAACCCCUGGACUGCAUUGGAAACUGGCAGUCUUGAGUGCCGGAGAGGUAAGCGGAAUUCCUAGUGUAGCGGUGAAAUGCGUAGAUAUUAGGAGGAACACCAGUGGCGAAGGCGGCUUACUGGACGGCAACUGACGUUGAGGCUCGAAAGCGUGGGGAGCAAACAGG